AUUGAACGCUGGCGGCAGGCCUAACACAUGCAAGUCGAGCGGAUGAAGGGAGCUUGCUCCUGGAUUCAGCGGCGGACGGGUGAGUAAUGCCUAGGAAUCUGCCUGGUAGUGGGGGAUAACGUCCGGAAACGGGCGCUAAUACCGCAUACGUCCUGAGGGAGAAAGUGGGGGAUCUUCGGACCUCACGCUAUCAGAUGAGCCUAGGUUGGAUUAGCUAGUUGGUGAGGUAAAGGCCUACCAAGGCGACGAUCCGUAACUGGUCUGAGAGGAUGAUCAGUCACACUGGAACUGAGACACGGUCCAGACUCCUACGGGAGGCAGCAGUAGGGAAUAUUGGACAAUGGGCGAAAGCCUGAUCCAGCCAUGCCGCGUGUGUGAAGAAGGUCUUCGGAUUGUAAAGCACUGUAAGUUGGGAGGAAGGGCAGUAAGUUAAUACCUUGCUGUUUUGACGUUACCAACAGAAUAAGCACCGGCUAACUUCGUG
rnacentral:rRNA from 1 species